GAUGAACGCUGGCGGCGUGCCUAAUACAUGCAAGUCGAGCGAACAGAUGAGGAGCUUGCUCCUCUGACGUUAGCGGCGGACGGGUGAGUAAAACGUGGAUAACCUACCUAUAAGACUGGGAUAACUUCGGGAACCCGGAGCUAAUACCGGAUAAUAUAUUGAACCGCAUGGUUCAAUAGUGAAAGACGGUUUUGCUGUCACUUAUAGAUGGAUCCGCGCCGCAUUAACUAGUUGGUAAGGUAACGGCUUACCAAGGCACCGAUGCGUAGCCGACCUGAGAGGGUGAUCGGCCACACUGGAACUGAGACACGGUCCAGACUCCUACGGGAGGCAGCAGUAGGGAAUCUUCCGCAAUGGGCGAAAGCCUGACGGAGCAACGCCGCGUGAGUGAUGAAGGUCUUCGGAUCGUAAAACUCUGUUAUUAGGGAAGAACAAAUGUGUAAGUAACUAUGCACGUCUUGACGGUACCUAAUCAGAAAGCCACGGCUAACUACGUG
rnacentral:rRNA from 1 species